rnacentral:rRNA from 1 species
UACGUAGGGUGCGAGCGUUAAUCGGAAUUACUGGGCGUAAAGCGCACGUAGGCGGCUUCUUAAGUCAGGGGUGAAAUCCUGGAGCUCAACUCCAGAACUGCCCUUGAUACUGAGGAGCUCGAGUCCGGAAGAGGUGAGUGGAACUGCGAGUGUAGAGGUGAAAUUCGUAGAUAUUCGCAAGAACACCAGUGGCGAAGGCGGCUCACUGGUCCGGUACUGACGCUGAGGUGCGAAAGCGUGGGGAGCAAACAGG